GCUGAAGACAGGAGCUUGCUCUUCUUGGAUGAGUUGCGAACGGGUGAGUAACGCGUAGGUAACCUGCCUUGUAGCGGGGGAUAACUAUUGGAAACGAUAGCUAAUACCGCAUAACAAUAGGUGACACAUGUCAUUUAUUUGAAAGGGGCAAUUGCUCCACUACAAGAUGGACCUGCGUUGUAUUAGCUAGUAGGUGAGGCAACGGCUCACCUAGGCGACGAUACAUAGCCGACCUGAGAGGGUGAUCGGCCACACUGGGACUGAGACACGGCCCAGACUCCUACGGGAGGCAGCAGUAGGGAAUCUUCGGCAAUGGGGGCAACCCUGACCGAGCAACGCCGCGUGAGUGAAGAAGGUUUUCGGAUCGUAAAGCUCUGUUGUAAGUCAAGAACGAGUGUGAGAGUGGAAAUUCACACUGUGACGGUAGCUUACCAGAAAGGGACGGCUAACUACGUGC
rnacentral:rRNA from 1 species